CGUGAUUGAACGGAGUGGAUAUUAUGAAUGACAUACACUGCAAUGGUGACAAGGACAGAUUAAAUGUAUGGAGUGGGGUGCCGCGUUGUUCUUGGAAGACAUGGGAUGUGGCGAGUCUGGCGCGAGUGUAGCGGCGUCCUUGGACCCAAUAUGUAUGCCGGGUGUUGCGCACAGAGUCUUGCUGUGGGUUAUGGACCGCACACCGUUUCCGGGAUUCGGGUGGGUCCAUGGGUGGGUUGUCGUUUGUAAUGUUGGAGUGUGGCCUCCUUUUUUUCAAUUUCCAUCGCUUCUGGUGCGUUGAGCCCGGGGCUGUCGGAUGCUGGCCUGACUACCUUGGCGUUGCUCCGGUUGACGGCC
rnacentral:lncRNA from 1 species